rnacentral:tRNA from 1 species
GUCCGGUUCGUCUAGUGGUUAGGACUCCAGAUUUUCAUUCUGGCAGCAGGGGUUCGACUCCCCUACCGGAUA